CAGUAAACAUAUAAAUUGAUCAAAAAACCAAUUAUUCCGAAUGGUAAGGUGUGCUAUUAAGAAAAUCAGUAGGGUUCCAAGCAUAUGAGGGAAAAGGGGUAAGAAGAGCUAUUUUAUCUUGGUUUGGCAGGGAAGACAUUCCAUAGAGAGAAUAUUUUAAGCUAAGACCUGAAGAAUGAAUGAGAAGGAGAAGGAGUCAGCCAUGGGUUGAAGGGAAUUUCAAAGACCCUGAGAUAAGAAAGUGCCAAUGGUGCACAUAGUCAAGCCAACUAGGAUUCAUAGCCAUCUUAAGGCAGUGUGGUAUACAGGAAAGGUGAAAGGCAUUGAAUGCAACCUUAGGAAUCCCCUUGUAUUUUUGACCCAUCCCUGCUAAGAGGUCAGAAGGGAACUGGCAUGUACUGUGUGUCUUUUUUUUUUUUUUUUUUGGCAGGUUCUCGCUCUGUUGUCUAGGCUGGAGUACAGUGGCAUUGUAACAGCCCACUGCAGUCUCGACCUCCCAUGCUCAAAAGAUUCUAUUACCUCAGCCUCCUGAGUAGCUGGAACUACAGGUGCACACUACCAUGCCAGGCUAAUUUUUGUAUUUUUUUGUAGCGACAGGGUUUUACCAUGUUGCCCAGGGUAGUCUUGAACUCCUGGGCUCAAGUAAUCUUCCCACUUCAGGCUCCUGAAGUACUGGGAUUACAGUCACUGUACCUAGCCUACUAUGUAUCAUGUCCAGCCAGGCACAAGCUAGUCCCUUUCUCACAUGGAUUUUUUUUUUAUUAUUUCCCUGAGCCUCAGCAUUCUUAUAGGUGUAACAAGGAAGUGAGACUUUUUGGCCUCUAAAAGCUUUUAUAACUUGGAGAGAUUAGUUGAUCUAAUCUAUGACCCCAUCCUCCAGUUAGGAAGCUGAGGUCCUGGAAGACAAAGUGCUUUUAUCUCAGGUUGCCCAAUGGAUAAGUACAUUACUUUUUAACUCUAUGCCUGAUUGACCAAGGUAAAGCUGAAAGAGUCUCAUCUGAACUAUAACCCAAGUGGGUAAGCCAGUCCCUUGGCACUGCCCAGGAAGAAGAUAUGGAUGGGAGGACUACUCCUUCUUGAAUGCAGAGGAUAAAAGUUAUCUGGGAGCUCUUUUACGAUUGUUGGAGAAGAUAGGAGAAAGUGAAGAAGGGAAGAAGAGAAAAAAACAGAGAAGAAAGAAGGAAAAGAAGAUAGAGGGACAAGUAGAAGAAGGAAAGGAAAGGAAAAGCAAGGAAAAAGGAUAACCUGUCCUCUUUGACUAGUAGGCUCACCAACUCUUCUUUACCAUGGAAGGGAUUUCAGUAGGACCAAAGGCUUUUCCCAUGAAAUAGUAUUUUAUCUUGAUAAGAACCUAGCACAUUGGUUACCAACCUCCUUAAAUUGAUUCCCUCAAAAGGAAGAAAGUGUAUCUGGAAAUCCUCUGAAACUUCCAGAGUCCCCCAAGCCCAGUGCUAUUUCUACCAGGGGAGAAAGCAGAGCUCUUUGUAUAUAUGGGUAGGAGCAAAGUAAGAUUCUCCUCCCCCUUUCCCCACAACCCGAAGCAGAAGUUUCUCCUGAGAUUUCAACCAGUAAAAUCACCAUAUAAUAGAUUAGGCAUCCUGAGAAGUUCUUAAUGGAACGAGAGCUCUCACUAAUCAAAGCAGGAAAGAACAGGGCCUUGAAGAAAUCAGAAAUCUAAUUAAGGUGGAAUUUCAAGAGAUCUGACUGAAUGUUAAAUAAGUUGUAGAAGCCUCAUCAAAAGGAUUAACUCAGCUGCAGAGACAACGCAGAAGUGCAGGUGGGGAUUCUGCAUGAAGACUGGAAAAAAAAACAGUGACAAGAACUGAAAGUGGUCAUUGUGUUCAUGGUGUGUCUAAAGGACAGAUAAAAGAAAGAGGUGCCCCUGACCCCUCCUUUCAUCCCAUCUUAGUUGAUGAGGUUUGGGGAAAAGAAGAGUUUGUUAAGCUCAUUUAAUCUGUUUUGUCUUGUCCAUGUUUUCAUCAAGCAACUUUCUGAUUAAUUUGGCUUUUAGAAUAUAUUUUUCCAAGCAAGACAGAGAUUGUUAUUCAGCCAACAUGAGCAUUCCCAGCUGUUUUUGGGUUAUAUUAGCUCUGGAAUUAAAACAAAACCAAACAAAAAAGCCUCUCUGUGUUAUAUCUGCUUUCUGUGAGUUUGACUUGCAU
rnacentral:lncRNA from 1 species